UGGGGAAUAUUGCACAAUGGGCGCAAGCCUGAUGCAGCCAUGCCGCGUGUAUGAAGAAGGCCUUCGGGUUGUAAAGUACUUUUAGCGGGGAGGAAGGGAGUAAAGUUAAUACCUUUGCUCAUUGACGUUACCCGCAGAAGAAGCACCGGCUAACUCCGUGCCAGCAGCCGCGGUAAUACGGAGGGUGCAAGCGUUAAUCGGAAUUACUGGGCGUAAAGCGCACGCAGGCGGUUUGUUAAGUCAGAUGUGAAAUCCCCGGGCUCAACCUGGGAACUGCAUCUGAUACUGGAAGCUUGAGUCUCGUAGAGGGGGGUAGAAUUCCAGGUGUAGCGGUGAAAUGCGUAGAGAUCUGGAGGAAUACCGGUGGCGAAGGCGGCCCCCUGGACGAAGACUGACGCUCAGGUGCGAAAGCGUGGGGAGCAAACAGG
rnacentral:rRNA from 1 species